AUGAUUCCCGGCUGUUAUAAUAGCACUGUGGGACUCCGGAAGGAUUCGGCCCAGCCGCCGGAUGUGACGCAGAGGCCAGGGCGCGACGGAGACACGGAGAAAGCGCCGAGAAGGCGGUCCCUGUCUAAGGUCCGGACAGAGCCGGGCGCCCAAGGCCCGAGUGCCCAAGGCAGCACCAUACCCGCACUCUUGGAGCGCCCCAAGCUUUCCAAUGCCAUGGCCAGAGCACUGCACCAAGCACAUUGUGAUGGAGCGGGAGUGCAAGCGGCAGGAGGAAGAAGAGGUGGACAAGAUGACGGAACGGAAGAUGAAGGAAGAACAAAAGAGAAGAAAAAGGAAAUGGAAGAGAGUCACUAGAGGAGACUAAGGAACAAAUUCUGAAGUUGCAGGAGAAGCUUUUGGCCCUACAGGAAGAGAAGCACCAGCUUUUCCUGCAGCUCAAGAAAGUUUUACAUGAGGAAGAAAAACGGAGGCUAAAGGAACAGAGUGACCUGACCACCCUGUCAUCAACUGCAUACCAGCAAAGCCUGACUGUUCACACAGGAACAUUACUCCUCAGCAUGCAGGGGAGCCCUGGAGGACACAAUCGCCCAGGCAUCCUCAUGGCAGCUGACAGCGCCAAACAAAUGUUUGACCCGAAGUGCUUACCACCCGGCACUACGUGGGCCCAGCAGUUGCUUUUGCGGGGACACCAGAGGAUGGACAAUUCCAAGGCAGUCCUGAUGGUGCCUAUGGGACUGCUCAGCCCCCACCUCACUAUGGGCCCACACAGCCAGCUUAUAGUCCUAGUCGGCAGCUCAGAGCUCCUUCGUCUUUCCCUGCAGUGCAGUACCUAUCUUAGCCACAGCCACAGCCACAGCCACAGCCCUGUGUCCUGCACGGCCACUUUCAGCCCACUCAGACAGGUUUCCUCCGGCCUGGUGGUGCCCUAUCCUUGCAAAAGCAGAUGAAACACAUGCUAACCAGCAGACUGGCUUCUCCGACUCAUCCUCUUUGCGCCCCAUGAACCCCCAGGCUCCACAUCCAGCCCCUGGACUCCUUGCUUUCUUGCAGCUCCCUGUGCAGAUGCAACCAGCAGGAAAGUCGGGCUUUGCAGCUACCAGCCAACCUGGCCCUUGGCUCCUAUUCCUCCAACACAGCCAGAACCUGCGAUUCUACCACAAGUGACCAUCAGAUUAUAUCUUCAACACCAUGCCCCUCCAACCCUACCAUGGGUG